UCUGUCAAUUAAUAAAAACAUAAUUCAUAAUUUACAAGUGAAAAAGACUAAGUUUUAUGGCAUGGAGAAUAAUAAAAAUAUUUUAUUUAAUGAAUGUUGUUCUAAGUUAAGUCGUAUUAAUUUAUUACAACUCUAUUUGUGUAAUAAUUUAUGUGCAUAAAGUAAGUAAUGUGAAGUGAAAAUUGUGUGGAAAUAAAGUAUAUUGAGUGAAUGAAGGAAGGUGAAGUCGUGGCCAUCAGUCGGAACACAGUGGUCAGCUGCACCACACCUGCCUCUCACACGGUUAUACUGUACGUGGUGUUUAAGACGCUUGUCAGCAAGAGAAGUGAGUGUAAGCUGUGACGACUGAAGAUAAAGGAUUGAGAUGAGAAGCUGCUUAUCGUAGUGCAAGCUAGAGACCAUCAGGAUAUAAAAAAUUAACAGGAGUGCUGUUCCUUCAUCUUAAGAAAACUCUUCAUUAUCUAGUAACUGUUACAUUCUGUUGUUGUUUAGGCUGACUAAGCCAACAUGGCAUCAGGGGUGACAGUAGCCGAUGGCAUUCAGCAGGCUUAUGCUGAUAUUAAAACUGGAAUGAAAUAUAGGUAUCUAAUUUUUCAUAUUAAGAAUGAUAAGGAGAUAGAUGUUGAGCAGUAUGGUGAGAGAGAUGCAGAGUACGAGGACUUCCUAAACUAUCUCAGGAGCCUGGGUCCAGACCAGUGUCGGUAUUGUGUUUAUGAUUUUGAAUAUGAGCACACUUUCCAAGGAACCUCGGAUACAAAGAAGAACAAGUUGAUUUUGAUGUCUUGGUGCCCAGAUACUGCCAGGAUUAAAACCAAAAUGCUUUACUCAACCAGCUUUAAUUACCUCAAAGAAGCUCUUGAAGGUAUUGGCAAAUGUAUUCAGGCUACAGACAUGUCUGAAGCAUCUUAUGAAAGUGUACUAGAGAAGUGUAGCUCUUCAGACCGGUUUUAAGAGUGCCAUGGCAGCCUAUUUGAUAAGGUAGCUCUUGAUAUAUAUUUGUCAUUACAGGAAUGAAAUGCUGAGUUCUAGCCAUUCCACAGCACUCAAGGAUUCUUGAGUGCCAUUCACAUAUUAUUCUUGCUUUAUAUAAUCUUGCCUGUCCUAUCUACUGUACUGCUAACAUCAAAUCAAGUACACUGGUUUCUCUUAUUUUUUCAUAUUUUAUCAUCAUGGGAAAUAGUUGGUAAGUUGAUGUAUUUAUACAUUUUUGGUUAAUCAAAUUUUGGUAUAUGAUAGGACUUUUUUUUGUCACUCUAAGCUUUGGUGUAGAGCAGGUUUAUUACAAAAAAAAUGUACUUUAUAAAAAUUCUUCUGUUUAUAUUAGGGCAGUCCAUUUCAUAAGGGGAAGUUAAACUAAAAAAAAUUCUCUCAGUGUUGCCUUUGUUCCAUUAUCCACCAGGACUGUAUAUAGCUAAAUUUGACUGUUUAAAAGACAUCAGUUUUCUUAUUUAAAUUUGUAAUGAGAGCAAGUAAAUGAAAAUAAAAACUAUUGUAUAACUGACAAGUGUUACAGGUUCUACUUUUAGUUUCUAAUACAGUAUCUGUUGUAUUUGCUUUAAUUUCACUGUGAUGUUUCUGUUAUACUAACAUGAGUGAUUAAUGAACAGAUGCUUUAUUCAUUGACAUGUAACAGUACAGAAUACCUGUAUUCAUAUAAAAAUAGACUGGGUGGUAUCUCUUAAAGGAAUUUUUUUUAAUAUGAAAUAAGUAGUAUGAGAGUAAAUCACUUAAGUUUAAUGUUAUUGGAGAAGAAGACUUGAAGGCAAGGCUUCUGUUAGAAGUAAAUUUACUGAAGACGUGUGCUUGUGCCUCAGAGAGGACCUGGGGAACAGUGAGGCUCGUGAGACUAAACACUCACAGGGCUAUGGAAGAGUAAAUUAUAAAGAGAGAGAGAGAGAAAGAGGGGGGGAUGGAGAGAGGAGGAGGGAGGCAGAGAGGCCAACAUAUGUUACAUGAGAGAGAGAGAGAGACAGACAGAGACAGACAGACAGACACAGAGAGACAGACAGACAGACCUCAUGGAAUAUGCCAAGAUUUUUGAUCUGGCUAACAAUGACGUGAUAGAGAUAAAAUAAAUAUAGGAUACGAUAAUAAUGUGUCAAGUAGAUACAUAUGAUAAACUGCUGUAUGACAAAGGUUGAUCAGUCAUUAGCAGUACAGCAAAGAUCUUUUAUAGCCACCAAUGAUUCUUCAUGAGCCAUUAAAUGGUGUUGAUCUUGAGGCCACUUUCAAGAUGGUCAACAUUCUAAAGUGUUCAAUGAAGCCAAUGACCCUCAAGACUUGGGUAAACAUUCAUGUAUUAAAACCUUUGACUGUUUUCAUCAUACUGCAUACAGUUUAAAAUUUUUGAUGUUGUGAAGAAAAACAAAGACUAGCAUUAUCUAUGCUAGUCACAUUAGUGGACAAUGGAUCUGACUGUUGUAAAAACACAGGUGGUCAGCCAAAUGAUGAUAAAUGAUUGUGCAGAAUAAGGCAAAGCCCCCUCAUCCACAAAGUUUCAGGUUCAUGAAGGAUGAUGAGACGGUAUAUCUGCACAGGAAACUCUUUGAAUGUACUGUCUUAUGAGAGAGCAAGCAGACUUCACUUUUUGGUAUCUAAAUUGCCCUGAUGUGUUACAUAACUGCUACUACUAUGAAAGUCCCACCUUCAGUACAGAAACUGAUUUUUUAAGUGAAACUACUAUAAUUUAUUGCACCAACUGUGCCUAAUGUUACACAUGAAGUAACCUUCCACUCGUCAAGGCCCUACUGACUUGCCUUCCUUCUGAUGCACAACUAUAAGACCCACACACAGAGUACUUCUUGUUUAAUAUACCUUACCAUAAUUAUUAAAUAAUCACCAUGCUGAUAAUGACUGAUGGUAAUAAAGGUAAUUACUGGUGUAGAAGACACAAUUACAGAGGAAGUUUGAGAUGUUUUGCCUGUUGACAACUUUCAGUCUCAAGAAGUUUGAUGACGGCUGAAAUGUCUCGCUAUAGAUCCUAUGCAAUUGUCUUCACAACUUGUUGGCCUUUGUGCCAUUCAUCUCCAAGUGUAACAUUGUUUGUUAUAUUAUGUACAUCAAGAGUUUGUAACUAACAUUUUAAUUUUCAUUUGAGGUAUAAUUUUUUUUGAGUUGUGUAAAAAAACAAAAUUUUUUUUUCUUUUUACCACCCUAAGCAUAAAAUCUUGUGCUCAUAGUAAUUUAGCACUUAGUUUUGAUUAUAAUAAUUGUGCUCAUAGCAACCUGUAAAGGUUGUUCUGUUUGCUUCAUAUUUUCUCAUAAAAUUACCUUACAUGGAACAAGGGCAGCAUUGUGGAGAAUGGAUCACCAUACAUAAAAGUUUUGGAUCACCCUAAUUCACAUGUUUUUAUGUACCACUUACACCAUUCCAUUUGCUGUGUAGGUAUUACCUAUUUUAAUUCUCUAAAUAAUGAGUUGGCACACUUAAUGGCACAAAGCUUGUCUUGACAUUCCUUGUACUGUUGCUAGAGAUUAUAACCAAGCUGCUAAUUAAUGGUCUACCACAGUGAUAAUGCUUAAGUUGACCAGAGGAAGAUGUUUACUGCUCUUGCUCACAGAAAUUAUACUGUCUACACUAUAUAUACAUAUUUACCUAUUUGUAGUUAAGGGAAUACAGCUUGUGUUCUUGGUGUCAUAUCUUUUAUGUUAAUUCUUAACUAUACAAGUCCCAGUGGUUUUUUGGUGUAUUAUUCCUGUUUUAAUUCCAAUCAUUUACCAUUCUAUAUAUGAUAUAUUUAAUAUUUACUAUUAUACAAAUACUUUUAUAAGCAUUGUGUGGUAGUUAUUAUAUCUGGUUAUUAUUUAUAUCCACUGUUAGAUAUUUUAAUGCAAUCCUGUCAGUUCUGGAAUUCAGUUGGUUGCAUGUCUGAACUUUUCUAUUUUUACUUUUUUUUUUUGGUGUGGACACCAUUCCAGAGUCACAUUCCAAUCGUAGUUUGAUAUGUAUAAAAAAAAUAAUUUUGCAAUCCACACAUUGACAGCAUUCUUAAAUUUAUCCAGUAUGGACUAACAUUUUUGCACUAUAUUUUUUGGAGUGAAAAUUUUUGUAUGGAGAAAGUGAGGUUAAAGUAUGUAGGAAAGAACUAAUUUCCAGGAUAUGUAAUUUCCAGGGAUGUGUAAUAUCACUUUGGUGUCUUUAUUAAUGAGCAUAUUAAAAGAAGUAAAUGCUACAUAUUAUUGUGACACAACACUUACAUAAGUCAUUCAGAACAAGUGGUGGAGAAUGAGCACUGGUGUAUUGGGCUGAGUUGUGGCAGUAAACCAUGAUGAAUCUCGUGUGAAGUGGGAGUUGUCAGUUGCUCUCUGAGAUCAGAGAGAAAGGCAGUGUUAGGAAGAAGGGAGUAUGGAGGAAGUCAUUUUGUUAUUUAGAUGUUAGAAAAUAGGAUGUAUAGAGGAAGGAAUAUGGUGUGGAAAUGAUGCAAAAGUAGAUAUUUUUGUGAAUGACAAGGAAUUGCAGAACAGAUGGACAAAAGAAAGUAGCGAAGUGUUCAGUUCAUGGAAAGAAUAUUGUCAAUGGAUGCUGAAAUGGAAAUGUACUAGAGUACAGUGAACCCUCAAUUUAAUGGACUAAAAGGGGUUAAGUGUGUAUGCAUUAUUCUCAGCUGUCUGAAAAUUCUGAAUUAUGAGAUUUAUUUUUUUAUGAUCGGAUCAAGUUUGGAAUCAUUGGACUGGGUCCCUUGAUUCUGCAGAGUACUGGACAGUUAUUAUGGACAAAGUCCAGAAAUUGUUUGGUUAUCCAGGAAAGCUGGAGACUGAUACAUUAGGAGGAUAUAUGAAUCUAUGGUGAAUAGAAGGUGUUCCAGGGAGUAUCAGAGGAAGGUUUGACACAGGAGGUUUUUAAGAGGCUAAGAACUUGAGUAUCUAGUAUGUGUGAGGAUCUUGGACCACAGGAGAGAAAAAUAGCUUUUGGAAUUUGGUUUCCUGUUGGAAUACAAGCUCAUUAACAUCUAUUAAGGGAUUCGGGAAAAACUACUUAGUCAUGGUUGAAUUUUGGUGGUGGGAAAUAUGGUUCUUGCAGUCUGAAGGAUAUGUGGUGAUGUGGUUCAAUAAAUUAUUGGGUCAUGGUAUCUGAACCUCAGCAAAGACAGAGACAGCUGGGGAAUGAAUGAUGAAUGUGUUUUUUUUUUUUUUUUUUUUAUGGGGUGUCACUGUGGCUUUGUGGGAAAUUGCCAACUCACUGCAACAGAAGUACCAGAGUGCUUUCAUAGUCUUUGCACACAUCUUUAAAGGAGUUAGGUUCCUGAGCGAGAUAAAACUCCCAAAUGACCUGUCUUGGAAGAAGUUUGUAAGUUUUUGAGUUACUUAGAGAUGCAAUUAAUCAAAUAUAGUUGGACUCCGUCCAACCGUAUGUAAUAUUUGCGCAUUAUAUCAUGUAGUGUGCUAAACUUUUAUCUUUGAUUAAUUUAUAGCUUCUAAACAUUUAAUGAUCUUUUCUAUGUAUUCCUUAUUUUUGGUUAAUUUCUGGUAUACCUUCUUUCUUUCUUCUUAGCCUUAAAUCAUUUUAGGAAGCAUAUUACUGUACUAAUAUAAUUUUCAAAGUUAUAUUUCCCAGUUUAGUGACAUUUCAUUAUUUCUGUCUUGCCAGUAAUAAACUAAAUAUGAUCAGUUCUCUUGGCCAUUUUAUGAAGUAUCACUCUUUAUCCUGUUUACAGGAUAUAUUUUCUUCUUGAAGAAUUUCUUAUUUUCUGGAACACCACUUACAUAUAUACAUGUAUUAUUUUUGUCUUCACUACAAACAGGUGAGAAAUGUUUUCCUUGGUUCAGCUAGAGACCAACUGUCUCCAUUUACCAUAGUAAAUGUUGGUGUUUGUUGUGCUUUGUAGCCAGAAUGUGCAAAAAGAGCUCUCUUGUAUCUAUUUUUUUGCAAUAUUCAUUUUUGCUAGGUUAAGUCUGUAAAGUUUGCAUUAAUGAAACACACAAUUUUUUUUUACCAUUUUAAAUUAUGAAAAUAUAUCAUCCUAAGACAAUACUUUUGUAUAAUUUUCCUUGCUUACACUCUGGUUAAAAAGCAGACAUAAAAAAACAGUUAAGUUAACCUUAUUAAAAAGUCCUUUUUUAAAAUUCUCUUUUUGCAUUGAUAUACGUAAAUUUUUGUCGUGGUAUACAAAUUUUUUUUUCUGCAGCCAAAAAAAAAAGCUGCAACCCUUUUCUAACAUGUUAAAAUUUAAAAUAAUUUUGUUUUAAACCCACUUUUAUGUUUGGAUCAACCAAAAGUCUAUUUUACAAAUAAUAAAUGUAAAAUGUUUUAAGUUUUUGCUGGAUUUGCAAUAUUCCUUUAAAGGAACUUGCAUGCAAUGUUUGGCAAAAUUUUAUUAAAUAUCAUAUAUAUUACAUUACAAAUGACAGUCAUGAAAAUUUUCUGUAAUUGUUUCCAUUCACUGUAAUUUGUUACUGGUGGCAGUAUUGGGUACAUGUAUAUAACACAGGUAUUGAUUAAUUACAUGUGCAACAAUUGGGUAUCUUUAUUGUGGAAAUGUUUCACCACACAUUGACUUCACCCACUGUUCCGAAAUAUUUCCGCAAUAGAUACCCAAGUAUUGCACAUGUCAACUUGUCUGUUCUCUGAGCCAGUUAUCUACAACACAGAUGUUGUAUGCCACAUUCCAUAGUUUGAUUGGAAGGUAAUGAGAAAAGCCACAUGCAAAAUGUAUAUAUUGUAUUUAAUAGCAAAACCAGCACAAAACUAAAAACUUUGUUCAGUGCCAUUUAAAAGUGUACAAUAUCUGGCUAAAAUCUUUUUCUAGAGUUAAUUGAGCUGGUUUAUAAAAUAAUUUCUCUAAUAAAUUUAGUAAUAAAAUCAAACUUUACAUUUUAACAUUGUUUGUAGAUUUUAGUGUGCACAAACAACUUAUGGCAUUUGACUUUAUAGUGAGGACAGUAUUUAAACACUGUGUUGGGAAAAAUAAAAAGAUGAUUGUC